UACGAGGGGGGCGAGCGUUAUUCGGAAUCACUGGGCGUAAAGCGUGCGUAGGCUGUUUUGUAAGUUGGGAGUGAAAGCCCAGGGCUUAACCCUGGAAUUGCUCUCAAAACUACAAGACUCGGAUUCGGGAGAGGAUAGCGGAAUUGUCAGUGUAGCAGUGAAAUGCGUAGAUAUUGACAGGAACACCAGUGGCGCAAGCGGCUAUCUGGACCGACAUCGACGCUGAGGCACGAAAGCGUGGGGAUCAAACAGGA
rnacentral:rRNA from 1 species